GUUUGUCGCGUCUGCUGUGAAAACCCGAGGCUCAACCUCGGGCCUGCAGUGGGUACGGGCAGACUAGAGUGCGGUAGGGGAGAUUGGAAUUCCUGGUGUAGCGGUGGAAUGCGCAGAUAUCAGGAGGAACACCGAUGGCGAAGGCAGAUCUCUGGGCCGUAACUGACGCUGAGGAGCGAAAGGGUGGGGAGCAAACAGGCUUAGAUACCCUGGUAGUCCACCCCGUAAACGUUGGGAACUAGUUGUGGGGACCAUUCCACGGUUUCCGUGACGCAGCUAACGCAUUAAGUUCCCCGCCUGGGGAGUACGGCCGCAAGGCUAAAACUCAAAGGAAUUGACGGGGACCCGCACAAGCGGCGGAGCAUGCGGAUUAAUUCGAUGCAACGCGAAGAACCUUACCAAGGCUUGACAUAUACGAGAACGGGCCAGAAAUGGUCAACUCUUUGGACACUCGUAAACAGGUGGUGCAUGGUUGUCGUCAGCUCGUGUCGUGAGAUGUUGGGUUAAGUCCCGCAACGAGCGCAACCCUCGUUCUAUGUUGCCAGCACGUAAUGGUGGGAACUCAUGGGAUACUGCCGGGGUCAACUCGGAGGAAGGUGGGGAUGACGUCAAAUCAUCAUGCCCCUUAUGUCUUGGGCUUCACGCAUGCUACAAUGGCCGGUACAAAGGGCUGCAAUACCGUAAGGUGGAGCGAAUCCCAAAAAGCCGGUCCCAGUUCGGAUUGAGGUCUGCAACUCGACCUCAUGAAGUCGGAGUCGCUAGUAAUCGCAGAUCAGCAACGCUGCGGUGAAUACGUUCCCGGGUCUUGUACACACCGCCCGUCAAGUCAUGAAAGUCGGUAACACCUGAAGCCGGUGGCCCAACCCUUGUGGAGGAGCCUCAAGUGUCUUAGCUGAC
rnacentral:rRNA from 1 species